UAGGCAAUAGCCCAUUGCCCAACACCGGAUUAUACAACAAAAUGAACAAAUAUAUCUCCUUCACUUUCAUUCCACCUGCCCAGAUUUACGCGUCUCUCUCUCUCUCGGUCUGUGGCUUUUUUAUUGAAAGUUUUGAAAACAAAAAUUCUCAAAUCUUUGAAUAACCCUAAUAGGCUAAUCCCCAACCUUUCUAUUCUUUUCCCUAAUUACCAUCUCAAAGGAGAUCGUCGGCCACAAACAAGAAAGAAGAACAUGUGAAGGUUGAUGAGUUUAGGUCGGCUGUCGGCAACUCCAUCGAUAAUUCGAUUCGAACCCCAUUUUUAGCCAACAACUCAUAUCUUUCGAUUAUUGAUUUGGACAAUGUUAUUAAUAUGAUUACAUCAUCUCCUAAGCGCAUCAAUGAGUUCAAAAGUUCCCAAAAAAAGAAAUUGAACAUUUGUUCGAAAUUGGAGAACGAAAGACUAGAAGUGGGGAUAAUCAAAUUGGUAACUUGCAACGAGCUGGAGGUACUCGUUGGUCUUCUCAUUACAACUUUGUAAAGAAUUUGAUUGAUAUGUAUGCUGCAACUUGAAAGGUGCUUGAGUAUCUUGGUGAUCAUUCUCCAAAUGUAAGAACUCGAUCUGAAGUGGGUGGUGUAUACAAAAAAUUGACAACAUUUGAAUUUGUAUUUAUUUUGCAUUUAA